AGCAGAGGAGACAUGGACACAGACCUGCUAUAGUUUCAUUUUCCUAAUGGGUUUUUAUAAUCUGAACAGAGUUGUCAAGACAUUUGGAAGUGUGUGUAAUGACUGAGGCUUUAAUGAAACUUUCUUCAGUUGAAGAAAAGAAGGCUAUUUCACAGUGCUCUGGCUAGAAAGGAUACAAGACAAAGAGGAGAUUGAUGCAGCGUGCCUCACAAUGGCUCUACUGAUUUCUCUACUGGCCCUUCCUCUGCACAUGGUCAAUUGGAAUUGAAAAUUCUGUUCUGAUUU